ensembl:lncRNA PPIEL peptidylprolyl isomerase E like (pseudogene)
GUCAUCCAGGCUGGAUUGCAGUGUCAUUGAUCAUAGCUCAAGCGGUCUUCCUGCCUCAGCCUCCCAAAGUGCUGUGAUUACAGGUGUGAGCCACUGCACCUGGCCUCUUCAUAUCUUACAACGAAAAGCACCAAGGAUUCUCUUUUGUUGAAUUUGAGUUGGCAGAGGAUGUUGCAGCAGCUGUCAACAACAUGUUUGGUCAGAUGAAGACUGGGUGGAGAAGUUUGCUGGGAAGAGGAUAAAGAGGAAGGUGGUUGAGACUUCCCAAAGCAGAAAGCCAGGAGGUAAGAAUGACAGUUCAUGCUUCCAUAGGAGAGGCUGCUGCUUUCCACAUAGGGAAUUUCUGAGGUGAGUGGUGUUGGGUGAAUUUAAAGGAGAAGUUUUGGCUUUCUUAUCUAGGUGAGAAAUAUCUUAUGUGGGCUCAGGUAUUUGUGAUUGCUGCUGAGCAAGGCGGAUAUCUGAGGUGAGAAAGGAUGGUGAGUACUCUGCAUCACCAGCAUCCGCUAUCCUCCUAGUCUUUGGCAGCAGGCUCACUGUCUUCCUGUUCUUGCCCUAAUUCCAAGGGGGCAGAAUCAUGUAGAGGUCCCUUCCCCUCAGUCAGUACACAGGCACAAGGCUCUCCCUGCCCUCUCCACUUGCUCCUGCUUCUCCAUCAGGCCAUCCUGACUGUUGCUUCCCAGGAUAAUUUAAGGGCUCCUCCUCCUCAGUCCACCCUUUGAGCAGUGAUAUUUCCCUGAAUUCCUUCCUUAGCCCUCAGCACCUCUCUCCACAUUAUCCUUAUGCCAUGUCAGCCCCUUCUAUCUCCUAAGGUUAUAACGAUCUUUCAUUGUCCGAAUGAUAUUCUGAUCUCUAUCCCUAGCCCUGACCUUUCACAUAUUUCUGUUUGGGUGUCUUAUAGGCACCAUAAAUAAAGCAUAUCCCAAAUGGGUUUCAUCACCUUUCUGGUCUUUUUUUAUGCCCAAUCUUAGUUCACUUUGCCAUCUUCAACAUAGUCACACCCAAACCAGAUUCCUUGGUGCCAGCUUAGAUCCCUCACUGUAUUUCAUACCUAAUGCAUUACCAUACCCUGCUAAUUUUAUCUUUUAAAUCUUGCGUUUCUCCUCUCCAGUUUUCUUCUGCCACUGUUGUCUUGGCUGAGGCCUUAUCCUCUCUCCUGUGAAUAAUUGGAGUAGCUUCCUAACUGGUCUCCCUGCCCCAGGCCUGUUUUCCUCCUAUCCUUAGCAGCCAGAGGGAGCUUUCUAAAGGGCAGAUCUGACUAUCUCACUCUCCUUAAGCAUUCUAGGGACUCCCUUGAUUUAUAGGAUUGAGUCCAGCCUCCAUCAAAAGGGACAGAAGACCUCUCUAUGUUCUGAUUCCUGCUUAUGUCUCCAUAUUUUAUCUCCAUUUUAUAUUCUAGGAAACAAGAGUUUGUAGAUACCUGUAAAUCUCUGUUUUGAUGUAAGUCAUUCCUCUGCCUGCAGUGUCCUUUUCCAAUUUAUUUUAUGUGGCUAAUGCCUGCUCAUUUCUCAUAGCGCAGCCCAUUUACUGCCUUCUCCAGGAAGCUUUUCUGAAUCCUCCAGUGAGUAAGGGAGAGCCCACUGCUAAAAAAGGCCUAGUCAAAUCCUCAGGUGUACAUGGACAUCAAGAUUGGGAACAAGCCGGCUGGCUGCAUCCAAACCCUCCUGCGUUCCGACGUCGUGCCCAUGACCACAGAGAAUUUUCUCUACAUGUGCACCCAUUUAAAGGACUCGGCUUCAAGGGAAGCAGCUUCCACCGCAUUAUCCCCCAGUUCAUUUGCCAGGGCAGUGAUUUCACAAACCACGGUGGCACCAGGGGUCUGCGCAGGCAUGGCACUAAGUGUCCCAUGGCACAUUUGGCCCUCAUGGAGGCCUCAAAAGGGCAGGACCAGCACCCUCUUCUACGGAGGAAGGAACGGGCACAGCAGGGUGAGCCACUGCGCCUGAUCAAGGCAUCACCGUUGAACCUCCUAAGAGGAAAACAUAAGGCUGUGCAAUACCAGGAACUGGGAUUCUAGGUUGCCCCAGACACCAAGGCAUCAAAAGCCAGGGGAUCCAGAGAAAACACAGACAGCCAAGAGAGAAACUGCGGGAAAAAGCCAAAAGGUUGAGAGCCACACCAUCUAGAAGCUUCCUGCCUGUGGUGCGGCACAGAAACAAGGAGAGUCAGCAAUUACCAGCCAGCCAAGGUCCUGGAAGCUGACGUAGAGCUCGUGCCGACGGCAGACCUGCCGGCCGUGGGAGCCGCGGACGUCAUCUGCAGGGACAGAAGGGGCAAGGUCUUUUCUGGGGUUCCUGCUGUGUGCAGCUACUAUGGGGUACCAGGGUGGGGGAUGCCCUGAUGAGCACAUUUGUCAAAU